rnacentral:rRNA from 1 species
AUCGAACGCUGGCGGCAGGCUUAACACAUGCAAGUCGAGCGAGCGGCGGACGGGUGAGUAAUGUCUGGGAAACUGCCUGAUGGAGGGGGAUUACUACUGGAAACGGUCGCUAAUACCGCAUACCAUCAGAUGUGCCCAGAUGGGAUUAGCUAGUAGGUGGGGUAAUGGCUCACCUAGGCGACGAGCCCUAGCUGGUAUGAGAGGAUGACCAGCCACUCUGGAACUGUGACACGGUCCAUGCUCCUACGGUAGGCAGCAGUGGGGAGUGUAGCACAAGGGGCGAAAGCCGGAUGCAACAGAGCCGGGUGUGUGUAAAAGGCCAGGGGGGUGGAAGGCACUGUCAGCGAGGAGGCGUUACCCGCAGAAGAAGCACCGGCUAACGCCGUGCCAGCAGCCGCGGUAAUAC